rnacentral:lncRNA from 1 species
AUGGGGUAUCCAGAUCUGUACCCCGGGACUCACACACUUUCUCUGCAGACCCAAGUCUGUUGCGAGAAGUUGGCUGCUUGCUUAUUUUUCCACGCAAAUGCUGGCUCACGUGGAGACCCUCCUCCUCAGCCACCCUCAGGAGCAGGGUGGCUACAGGUGGGGACACCAGUGGAGGGGACGGCAUGCCUAGCGCUAACUCCCCAGCUCUGCAGGGCUGGGGGUCUCCUCUCGUGGGUCAGAGGCAGGGAUGUGAGCAGAGGUUCCGCGGGGCAGGCUUGGGUUUGCCUGGGAAGGAGGCGAGCACGCUGCCUGGGCACUGCCUCCUGCGGCUACAGGUGUUUGGGGGGUAACAGAGGGGUUUAUUUGCCUUUCUCCUCACCCCUCGCUGCCUGGAUCGCUGGCAUCAUCUGGUCCGCAGGGCAGUGGGGUGGGCUGCGGUCCGCAAUUCCUGACAUCUUGCCCUCGAGAUGCAGUGGAGGCAAAAGCUGCAGGUGCACUGCCCAUGGCCCAGGUGCCCUGUCGUGCCUGGGCACAUGGUUAUGGCUCUCGCUGCUUUCUCCCCUCCGUCCUCUGUCCCGGCGCGAGCCCUGCGGCUCCUCUGGCUCCCACCACUGCCUGCGCUGCCCUGGGGACGUGAGUAAUUCCUGCUGGGAGGGUCCCAUCUUCUGUCCCUCUGCCAGGAGAGCCUGGGAAGGGUCACCGUGUUCGGCACUUCCACGCAAAGCCUUUCCUGCAGCAUUCGCAGCUCUGCCCUCAGCCUGGCUGUGGGGAUGGCCAGCCCAGUGCUGCUUUGGUCCCCGCAGUGUGCCCGCACACCCCCGCGGCGUCGCUCCUCAGCGCGGCCGAGCUCCUUGCAAAGCUUCAGCCACAGCUUGUGCUUUUCCAGGGUGGGAUUAUCACCCCAGUCCCCACAGGCAUCUCAGACCAAAAAUCCCUGUGAAAUCCCCCACGCUACUUACUAUUCUCAGUAGUGUUUGCUGCUUAUUCGAUUCUUUAUUUAUUUUUCCCUUUGGGAGUGUUGCAUUUCGACGCCUCGACGCACACUUCCCCCAGCCGGGGCCGGCGGUUCCUGCUCCUCCCGCUUGGCCUCGUGGCUGGUUGGGGACCUGCUGCUUUCCGUGCCUACGUCUGGGUUUUGCUGGGGCCUACGGCCUCACGGUGGGAAAUAUUUGCAGGGAGAGGGGUCUCUGA